rnacentral:lncRNA from 11 species
AGGAAGCACUUGCUUCAAAUUGUGAUGUGUUUGAAUCAACUCCACACACACUCAUCACUGAAAGGACCCCCACCUCUCUUCUGCAGUUUUAGGUCACUGAAAUAAAUCCUGAUGGCCUGCAAUUGGAUGGUGAUGUGCUGCAAGACACUUGAUAGACUCUGAGAGACUUGAGAGACUCACAAUUUUUUACAAGGUUUGUAGCUUAAUGGAGCCCCGCUGGAAGUAGUUGUAUGUUGUGGGAUGGCAGCCAGUGAUCUCCAUGGCAAAACUGAAGAGGAACUUCAGUAUGC